GAAGGUAUAGCUUAGUGGUAGAGUGCAUGCCUAACAUGAACAAGGUCUUGGGUUCAAUCCCCAGUACCUCCA
rnacentral:tRNA from 1 species